rnacentral:rRNA from 1 species
AUUGAACGCUGGCGGCGUGCUUAACACAUGCAAGUCGAUCGGUAACGCGGGGGCAACCCUGGCGACGAGAGGCGGACGGGUGAGGAACGCUUGGGAAUCUGCCUAUCAGCGGGGGACAACACGGGGAAACUCGUGCUAAUACCGCAUACGCUCUACGGAGGAAAGCCGGGGACCGCAAGGCCUGGCACUGAUAGAGGAGCCCAGGCCGGAUUAGCUAGUUGGCGGGGUAACGGCCCACCAAGGAGACGAUCCAUAGCUGGUCUGAGAGGACGAUCAGCCACACUGGAACUGAGACACGGUCCAGACUCCUACGGGAGGCAGCAGUGGGGAAUAUUGGACAAUGGGGGAAACCCUGAUCCAGCGACGCCGCGUGGGUGAAGAAGGCCUGCGGGUUGUAAAGCCCUUUCGGUAGGGACGAAAGCUCUCGACCUAACACGUCGGGAGGUUGACUUAACCUACAGAAGAAGCACCGGCUAACUCUGUGCCAGCCGCCGCCGUAAUAC